UGUCUCCCUCUUUUGCACCUCUGUGCUGUAUUCUGGUUGAUGUAUUAAUAAGAAUACAAAAAAAGUAAUUAACAAAGCAAAAAUAAAUUUACGUAGGUGUGCCUGCUCUCUCUCGGGUAUGUUUUUUUUCUGCCAAUCAUUUUUAAUCCACUUUAAUAGUAGUUAGCUUUUGAUUAUAUAAAUUUAAUUUGUUGUGAUGAAGUUUGAUUAUUUUUAAAUUGGGGUUGGUCUAUAAGCUUAAUUAGGGGUUAAUGUUAGUGAAAUUAGCGUCUGUGUUGUGAGAAAUUAGAUCUAUUUGAGAAUUUUGAGUUAUUCUUUGCAAUUGAGGUACUAGGUUUUAUCCUUUUUUUUUAAUAGUUUUGGGAGAUUGACAGCUUAAUUUGGGUUAGUGUUGGGCCCUUUUCUUUUGGUUCUGGGAGACUUGUAGCUUGGUUAGGGUUCAAUGUUAGUAAGACGUCCAUUAGUUUGUGUUUUUUUACUUAUUGCUUUAGAAUUAUGGUGCUAAAUUUUACAUAAUUUUGGGUUUUGUUGAUAUGGGUUCAGCAUGGUUUACAACCUGCAACAUAUAGGAGAGAGUGUAUUAUUUUACCCUCUAUUUUUCACUUCCAAGAUGGAAAUCCAGAGAAAUUGUUACUCUUUGAUUACAUAACAAAAGGAUUUCAAAGUGUUCAAUUUCUAGGUUCUUAUAACUCCAGAACCCAAGUUGAAAGAACCUCCCUUUAGUACCAUCUAAAACCAUCGUUAAGUUCGAGUGUCCUCCCAAGUGUAGGGACAUUUAGUUAGUCCCAGUCCAAAAUGUUUUAGUUUCUAUCAAAAAUAACCUCUUUACCUAAUAGUCGUAGGGUCUGCAUACGCACUACCCUUCUGGGACCCCAUUUGUUGGAACCACAUGGGGUAUGUUGUUGUAUUACUCCAAUUUCAAAUAAUAUUUGAUAAAUAUCACUAUGAGUGAAAUCUUCAUAUCCAUACAAAGCACAACAUUAGCACAAGAAAAGUUCAAAUCUUUAACAUUUCGAAAGUAACAUAGGUGUUCCAAAGUAUUUUCUCCAGUUUGCUAAAGUAAGAAUUUAUUGUAUGUUAUUGCUUUUUAUCACUUAAUUGUUUCUUAUUAUUUUUACAAAGUUCUAAUCGAGUAAAUAAUUUGCAAUCUCUUUUGCAGAUUGUCAAAGAAGCUUGUACUAAUCUUUUGCCAAACUUGCUGUGUGAAUAUCCUUAUAAUAUAUCUGAAGACUUCACUAAAUUCUCUAUCAACUGUCAAGUAUGAAAUUUUCCUAGCAUCAAAUAAAGUAAACCAGAGAAAUGCUGAAACAAAUACUAUGCACCCCAAUAAACCGGUGGCUAAAGUUGCUAUAGACCAGCUGUAACCACCAGUGAAACACCAAAUAAUUAAAGUUCAUCAUCUAAGAUUCAUGAAAAUCUUCAAGAAUGGUGAAGAUAUUGCAUAUAUAGAAACCACCAAGGGGUAUUGUAGGAUGAUUAAGAUCCAGCUAGGAGAAAAAGAGGUUAGCUUAAAUUGGUAAUUUAGCCAAAGGGGGAACAUGCAUCGAUUGGAUCAUUUAGAAUAGUUGUUCCAAUCCAAAUGUCUACCCCAGCAUAAAGAUCUUACACACCACAUCUACAUAAGAAGUGUAGUCUCCCCUUAGCUAACCUCUUUGACGCGAACUUAGAUCAGUUAGGCUAAAUGACUUUGGAUACCAGAUAAUUAAACUAAUAGAAGUAGCUGUCGUGUAGUAUAAAUAUGUUAUUUGAUUUGAUAGAUUGCAUUCAGAAACAUAUUUCGGAACUUUGUAGGUCAUUGGCUCGACUGAGGAAACAAGAAGACUCUUACUGUGUGAGGCAACAAUAGCUGUCAUAAGAAAGUGUUCCCAUCUGUUGGGUAUCACUACUGUUUACAAGAUUUAACAUCCAUAUGAUUUAGUUGUUUUUGUACUCUUUUUUUCUUCAUUAAAUUAGUACUGAGAUGAACUGUAUUUGAAUAGAGUAAACCUAUUACAUAAUUUUAUCAUAUUUGAUUUUCACUCAUAAGUUCUAAAAAUAUUUGUACAGCACAAAGCCACAUAUAUAUAGCCAUGUCCCUAUAUUUUCUUGAAAUUAGCACUCUAUUUCUUGAAGUUAGUGGGUAGUCAAGCAUUUGUAUAGUUCCUUUCUAAUAUUAAGCUAAAAUCUAUCUAUUUUGUACAUGUAUCCAAUGACUGUUCAUUUGGGAUAUUGAGUUGAAAAAGUGUCCGUUUAGACUUUGGACUCCUCAAUUGACAAGUAAAUAUUUCAACUGUGAUUAUACAUAUCUAAACACCUUAACUCGUCUCCACUAGAUCAAUUGAACACACCAACUUAAAAAAUGAUCAUCUAAAUCUCUCUAAAAUUUUUGUGUGUGUCACAUGAAUAUUAGGUGUCUACGAGACACAGGCAGAGAUGAGUUGGAGUGUGUAGUUUGUAGUUAAGAGUAAAUUAAGAUGUCUAAAUGUGCAUAUUCAGUGUUUUCUUUCAAAUAUGGAUUAUCUUACUAUUUAGUGGUAGUGAUUGUUUCAUUUUAGUAUGCUUUAUCAUGCUUCAUUUGGCAAUUUUGUCUUGGCUUUCACUAUUUUCUUUUCUGAAUAGCUUUGUAAUGCUUUUAAUUGAGUUUAGGGUCUAUCAAAAAUAACCUCUAUACCUUAUAGGGGUAAGGUCUACGUACACACUACCUUCCCUAGGCUCCAUUUGUGAGAUUACACUGGGUAUGUUGUUGUUUCUGUAGUCUGGUUUGUGUAUUAUGCUAUGAGCACAUUUCUUAUAAUUGCAUUGGUGCAUUAGGAAUCAAUAUGUAUGAGGUUUUGGGAGAUAAAGUGUAAGACCCCGCAAAAUUCUCUUAUAGCUGAGCCUUAGAGCGUGUUCAGCGAAGUGUAAAUCCAGCCCUAAAAGGUUGAGAAGUGUCUUUCCAAGUGAGAAAUAUUUUGAACCACAUAGAAUUUCCCUAAUAUUGACUUUUUAUCAUGUAGAUAAUUGAAUAUUCUUUCCGUCAAUACCAAUUUCAUUAAAAUCCAACACCGAAUGAGGAAGUUAUGGCCAUUUUACUGAAAGCAGUUGGAACCGCCCAGGUGCGACGGCUGGGUUGACGGACCGUCGAGCUUACUUCAGACCUUCGCCCAUACUUUUGCAACCAAAGCAGUGACUGGCCUAAGUGCAACAGCCAAGAUGAUGGACCGUCAAGACUAUGAUAGACCGUCACUGGGAUCGUCGCCGCUGAGACCGUCACUGGGAUCGUCGCCGCUGAGGCUGUGUGGCCUCAUCCUGACCAACGUGCGAUGGAUGAUCAGACGACCCAUCAGGUUUGUGACAGACCAUUGCUGAGACCAUCGCAUCGAGGAAAUAUGUUCUUUUUCUAACCGAUGUGCGAUGGACAAUCUGACAGACCGUUAGACUAAGCGACGGACCGUCGCUUCGACAGUCGCAGCCCCCGUUCAGCAUUUUAAACUCAUUUUAAAAAGGACUUUUUUUUCACUUUUUCAGCCCCUAUUUAUACCCGAAAGGAUCACAACUUUAUUUCUCCUCUUCAAUAUCAAAAUCUAGGGUUUCUACAAAAUGAAAACCCUUCUUUCUUCUUUAAGAAAAAUCAAGAGAAAUCAAGAAAUCAAGAAUCUCUCCAAGAGCCUUCAAGAAAGAGUUUCCUAAGGUAUACAGAUGUUGAUUCUUGGGUACCUUUCAUCCAAGAAGCUCAAGAACCCUUUUUUAAAUUUCAAAGAUCUUAUGUUUAUGAGUUUUCAUGAUUUAUGUGAAUUAAAAUUGGAGUUCAUACUAUUUUUGAGUUUUUAAUUCAUGUUUUGUUUAUGAGGUUUCAAGCUUUGACCCUAGUAUGUGAUAUCCAUGAUAAACCCUCUUCAAGUUACUUGUUAAGUGAUGUUUUCAUGUCAAUUAAGUGUAGAAAUUGUUGAAUAAGCAAAGCAUGCUCUCCACAUGUUUGAUAAAAUUCUUAUGUGAAAGAAUUAGAGCCAUUAUAGUAUGUUGACUAGGAACCCCAAUUGUGUGCAAGCCCAUGCACGCCAAAUGUUUGUUGAAAAGCCUUAGUGAAUGAAUUGUGACAUGAUAGCAUGAAAUUCUCCAAUUAUGUGUUCUUUAAUACAUGCUAAGUGUUUGAUGCAAGACCUUGUUAAAAGGAGUAUGAGCCAAUAGCAUGUCUCCCUAUGUUAUUUCAUGUUUAUGAUUCCUAAAUACUUGAGGAAAUGCUUUAGUGAUGGUGAAUGAAUGUCCAUGGUCUUGAUUAUUUAAGAAUGGUUAUAUUUUACUUUUAUGUUAUCAACUCCUGGGAGUAUUUAUACCCGAUAAUUUAGCUGCAGUCUAAAGCCAAUGUCAGUUUUCACGAUAAUCUCAGUCAAACCACGAUUAUCAAAACUCAGUGAGUUAUAGACUCUGUACUCUCAGACAGAUACAAAACUUAAGAAAUCUAAAAAAUCUCAGUAAUCUCAGUAUCACUAAUAUUCUAUCCUCAGUUCAGUACUUAGCUCAGAUCUAGUAGUAUUCAAGUGUUCAGUUUGAAACUCAGUAUCAUGCAGUCAAAUAACGAGAUUCAGUAGUAUUCCAUCAGAUAAAGAACCAAGUGAAUUCAUCGUAACUCAGUCAUGUCAUUCGAGAAAUAUGAUCAGUAACUGAUUCAGCUCAAUUUAAGUUCAGUUAAGAAUCAGUUUAGAGUCUUUCAGUUGGGAGUAGGAGCUAGCACUGAGCGAUGUAGGGCAACUCCCCGUUAAAGAGGCAGAGUCAUUAGGAGCAAUCCCUAAACUCCAGAACUGCGUGGCCAACGAAGAAGCAGAAGUCACCCGUUAGAAUAACGCUUGACUAUUAUACUGCCUUAGGCUUGACUUCCUGUGAGGGUCACCCAUUAGAGAGGCUUGACCACAGUAGAGGUCUUUACCCAUGGCACGGUAUUGACACCCUUUCAGCUGGGGUUAUAGGUUGGACCCCACCGGUUCAGAUUCAGGGUAUGUCGAUUUAGUGAGAACUCCCACAGUUGUAGAUUUAGUAUCAAUCUUCAGAGUAAAACUCAUAAAUCAGGACUAUCAGAUAUAGUCACCUAUAUUAGUAAGGAACUCAAAUAGUUCCAUUGAUUCAUGGACCACCCGCUAGAUAGGCAUGUUCUCACAUAAAGUUAUUCAGUAUUAGUAUUAUUAGAUCCAGAGAUCACCUAUUAGAUAGGCUUGAUCUUAGUCUCAGAUUCAUUUGAGUAAUCUCAUUAUCAGAUCCAGAGAUCACCCAUUAGAUAGGCUUGAUCUCAGUCUCAGAUUUAGUUGAUUAAUCUCAUUAUCAGAUCUAGAGAUCACCCGUUAGAUAGGCUUGAUCUCAGUCUCAGAUUUAGUUGAGAAAUCUCAUUAUUAGAUCUAGAGAUCACCCAUUAGAUAGGCUUGAUAUCAGUCUCAAAUUCAGUUUUCUCAUUAUCAGAUUUAGAGAUCUUCCGUUAGAUAGGUUUGAUCUCAGACACAAUCUUUUCUUAUCAUUGAUAGUAGAUUCAGGGAUCAUACGUUAGAGAGUUUUGAUCUCAUAUUCAGUCAGUCGAGAGUAGUAAGAUCAACUUCCAAUCAUUGAUAUGAUUGGAUUCAGUUAAUUAGCUUCAGUAUUAUCAGUUUUUGAGAUCACUCACUAGAAGGGACUGAUCUCGAUUUCAGCACUCAGUUUUCUAUAUCAGGAGAUUCAGUUGUUUAGUAUCUCAAUAUUACUAGUGAGUUCAGAUAUUAGUAAAGCAGUAUUCGAGUUUCAAUAAUUUGAUUUGCGAUAUUUUCAGUUAUGAUUUGUGCAUUCAUGUAUAUGUCCUCAUUCAGUAUUCUCAUGACUUUUCAGUUAAGUAAUUGUUCAUGCAUAAGCCCUUGCAUUUAGCCUUACCUCAUCUUCAUACUCAGUAUAUUCCCGUACUGGCGCAUUUACUCGAUGGUAUUUUAUUUGACACCAUAGGUUCAGAGGCACGAGAUCUAGAGUACCCUUAGUAGCUCAGUCCCAGUCAGCAGCAGAAGACGUAGCCGUGAGUCCUCCACAGUUGGGGAUAUGUCCUAUCAACUCCACAGUUAUGAUAGUUUAGAGGCUUUUUGGACAGAUGUAUCAAUAUUCAACUUUCAGUUUUGAGUAUUCUAGACGUUUUGAACCUUAUGGCUAGUUUUUGCCAGUUUUCUGCAAUUAUUAUAGAUAUUAUGCAGUGCUUAGGUAUAGAUAUCAGUAGAGGGUUAGCUUGUGGUCCUUCAGAAUCAUGAGCACCGUGUGACGUUCCGGU
rnacentral:lncRNA from 1 species